GGUAGAUUCUGCCCCUUGAAACAAGCGUGUCUCAAAGAUUAAGCCAUGCAUGUCUAAGUACACACUGCGGCACAGGGAAACGCGCAAAUGGCUCCUUAAAUCACUUAUGGUGUAUGAGAUCGCGCGUUCUAUGGGGAUAACUGCGGAAAUUAAAGAGCUAAUACAUGCAACUGGCCCUGACUGAACGGAGGGGCGCUUUUAUUAGAUAAAAACAAAGGAGACAUCGGUCAGUAUUUGUGAUCGACGCUGGAGAACUUUAUGCCGACCGCAUGGCCUUGCACCGGCGGCAAAUCUUUCAAAUGUCUGCACUAUCAACUAUCGAUGGAAAGGUGACAUGUUUAUCAUGGGGGUAACGGGCAACGGAGAAUCAGGGAUCGAUUCCGGAGAGGGAGCCUGAGAAACGGCUACACACAUCCAAAGAAGGAAGCAGGCGCGCAAAUUAGCCACUCCCGGCACGGGGAGG
rnacentral:rRNA from 1 species